AGUGAACGCUGGCGGUAGGCCUAACACAUGCAAGUCGAACGGCAGCACAGUAAGAGCUUGCUCUUACGGGUGGCGAGUGGCGGACGGGUGAGGAAUACAUCGGAAUCUACUUUUUCGUGGGGGAUAACGUAGGGAAACUUACGCUAAUACCGCAUACGACCUACGGGUGAAAGCAGGGGAUCUUCGGACCUUGCGCGAUUGAAUGAGCCGAUGUCGGAUUAGCUAGUUGGCGGGGUAAAGGCCCACCAAGGCGACGAUCCGUAGCUGGUCUGAGAGGAUGAUCAGCCACACUGGAACUGAGACACGGUCCAGACUCCUACGGGAGGCAGCAGUGGGGAAUAUUGGACAAUGGGCGCAAGCCUGAUCCAGCCAUACCGCGUGGGUGAAGUAGGCCUUCGGGUUGUAAAGCCCUUUUGUUGGGAAAGAAAAGCAGCAGGUUAAUACCCCGCUGUUCUGACGGUACCCAAAGAAUAAGCACCGGCUAACCUCGUG
rnacentral:rRNA from 1 species